UGCGUGUUUAUGUGUGUUUGUGUGUGUACAAACAACACAUAUACACACAUAAAAGUGGAAGUCAGAAAAUAGAAGAGGAGCUACAUUCGGGAAGCGAUUGAAGGCUAUCCAUGAAAACAGGGUCAGCCUUCAUUGACAGUUUCAUUUAAUAAGUAUAGCCGCAAGUUCCGCGAAUGUUAAAAUUGCAAUCCCCUCAGGGGAAAACCCACCUAAUGACGACAUCAUUUUCGGUCACGGAGAAGCUGCGAAACAGGUGGACGAUGAACCUUAAAAAAUGAAAGAAAAAAAAAAUGGCCAAUGCGUUUGGAUUAGCAUUUUGAUUACGUAAGAGAAGAACAACAACGGAAACUAACCACUCAUCCUCGACGUUACAGCCAUAACGAGUUUUCCCGUAGAGAUGCGGAGGGUUGUCUCCUGAAAUUUAAACAAAUGAAAUUAAUUUCUCUAAAAAAAAUUCUAUAAAAAAGAUAUUUUAAAAAUUUCAUAUUAAACAAGGCACGGACAAUCAAUCUCGCGAGUAUGCAUGCGGAAAUGUUGUUCUGCUCAGCCCCCACCCCCUGCCCCCAAAUUAUAUAACAUAUCGGGGGAAGUAACUGUCAAUAAGAGUACCAAGUUUGACGAGCGAUGAGCCGUUUGAAAAGAACCGUGGUCUUUCCGUUAUGUAUUGCCCGAGUCCUAAUUGCAAGUUUACUCUAUUCCAGUUGAAAGACAGCUAAAACACGCAAUGGUGGAAGAAGAAAAAAACAAAGAAAAUAAAGAGGAAAAGGAACAGCAAAAUCUUCCCUAUCCACCUGAGGGGAAUUAGCCCGUUGUGUUGCGUACACCGACAAUAACACCAAGAAAAUUUUCGACUACAAUACCAAUAAACAAUGUGUGUGUAGUGACAUGAUAGAACAGCUAAAGUACUGUUAUUCCAGGAAACAAAAGAGAGCAAUAUAAGAAUGUUAAAUUGGAAGAAGAAA